rnacentral:rRNA from 1 species
GAUGAACGCUGGCGGCGUGCCUAAUACAUGCAAGUCGAGCGAACAGACGAGGAGCUUGCUCCUCUGACGUUAGCGGCGGAUGGGUGAGUAACACGUGGAUAACCUACCUAUAAGACUGGGAUAACUUCGGGAAACCGGAGCUAAUACCGGAUAAUAUAUAGAACCGCAUGGUUCAAUAGUGAAAGACGGUUUUGCUGUCACUUAUAGAUGGAUCCGCGCCGCAUUAGCUAGUUGGUAAGGUAACGGCUUACCAAGGCAACGAUGCGUAGCCGACCUGAGAGGGUGAUCGGCCACACUGGAACUGAGACACGGUCCAGACUCCUACGGGAGGCAGCAGUAGGGAAUCUUCCGCAAUGGGCGAAAGCCUGACGGAGCAACGCCGCGUGAGUGAUGAAGGUCUUCGGAUCGUAAAACUCUGUUAUUAGGGAAGAACAAAUGUGUAAGUAACUAUGCACGUCUUGACGGUACCUAAUCAGAAAGCCACGGCUAACUACGUG